rnacentral:pre_miRNA from 1 species
GCCGGGAAGCGAAAGAAAGAGGGCACAAGAGUAGUGAGAAUAGGAACAUGGAGGAAAGCCUAACUUGCUUUGGUUUCAUCUCUAGUGUUGGAGAUGAGACCUUGAUUUGGUGUUUCCCGAUGCCUCCCAUUCCUAUUGUUCUCAAUCACUCCUUCCUCUUCCUUUUUUGG